AGAAGAAAAAGAACAAAUGGAAAAAUCACAAACCGUCUUGAAGUUUUUGCCCUUGUUGAUUGGUUUCUUUUC
rnacentral:ribozyme from 1 species